rnacentral:ncRNA from 1 species
UCGACAGGCUCAAAUUGGGCCGUCUUGCGAGCAAUUGCAGGAAGAGCACUCGUCAAAUUCGGUGAAGUCCUCUCUUUUUUGAAGAAAGAUAAUACCGAGCCAAGCCCGGAAGGGAAGGUGUAGAGACUAGACGGCGAGCCUCCUUAUAAUUUAAGGAGGAAGGUAUAGUCCAGACCACAUAAACG